GACGAACGCUGGCGGCGUGCUUAACACAUGCAAGUCGAACGGAAAGGCCCUGCUUGCGGGGUACUCGAGUGGCGAACGGGUGAGUAACACGUGGGUGAUCUGCCCUGCACUUCGGGAUAAGCCUGGGAAACUGGGUCUAAUACCGGAGAGGAGCCAUUUUGAGUGAGAUGGUUGGAAAGUUUUUUCGGUGUAGGAUGAGCUCGCGGCCUAUCCGCUUGUUGGUGGGGUAAUGGCCUACCAAGGCGGCGACGGGUAGCCGGCCUGAGAGGGUGGACGGCCACAUUGGGACUGAGAUACGGCCCAGACUCCUACGGGGGGCAGCAGUGGGGAAUAUUGCACAAUGGGCGCGAGCCUGAUGCAGCGACGCCGCGUGGGGGAUGACGGCCUUCGGGUUGUGAACUCCUUUCGCUAGGGACGAAGCUUUUUGUGACGGUACCUAGAUAAGAAGCACCGGCUAACUACGUG
rnacentral:rRNA from 1 species